UGAAACCCCGUCUCUACUAAAAUAACAAAAAUUAGCUGGGCGUGGUGGUGGGCAUCUGUAGUUCUACCUACUUGAGAGGCUGAGGCAGGAGGAUUGCCUGAGCCCAGGAGUUUGAGGCUGCAGUGAGCCAUGAUCGUACCACUGUACUCCAGCCUAGGUGACAACGUGAGACCCUGUCU